GAGGGCAAUCGCUCAGGUUGAGACACUGUCACCCCAUUGAUCACCAGUGUUGAUUCGGCUUAUCUGGUUGUCUAGGCAGCUGUCCUCAUCCUCCUUUGCUACUCCUUGUGUGUCCCUCCUGAGCUGUGCUCUUGGUCGAAAAGGGAGAACGUCUCCCACAGCGGAGGACUGUGUUCUUGGUCAAGAGUAUAAGAGUAGCUGCAUCUUCAUGGUCAAACCUCCAAACAAGUUCUCAAAUGCAGAGUUUUUUAAAUUGUUGACAUAUUUUAUUUGAACAUCUGUGAAGGAUGAAAAAGGUUCAUAAAAUUCUAAAACUAUAUUU
rnacentral:snRNA from 1 species